rnacentral:lncRNA from 1 species
AUGAUUACACUAACCGAGCUAAAAUGUUUACUAGCAGACACCCAGUCAUCUUAUCACAUCUUAAAAUCAUGGUAGGAUGUCUUCUGGUAUUACAUCAUGCUGAUCAUGUGGACAUGCUGGCUGGAGCUCUCCAGCUGACACAGAGCAGGGUUCUGUGCUGUCUUCUUACAAAGUGGAAUUUGACAAUCAUUGCACCAUGCCUUGGAACAUCCUGAAAGCCAGCAUAAACACAUCCUCUAAUCCCGGGACAUCAGUUUCCGAUCCCACUCGGAAUCCAGAACGACCUCCACUGACAGCAGGACUCCUACAUCAACGCUGUCUGUUACGAGAAACAGCUCCAUUGGUUUGCAACGUUCUUCCCCUACCUGGUGCUCUUGCACACACUGUUCUUUGCAGCCUGCAGCAACUUAUGGCUUCACUACCCCAGGUACCAGCUCCAAGCUUGAGCAUUUUGUGGCCAUCCUUUAUAAGUGCUUCGAUUCUCCACGGACCACCUGCACCCUGUCAGAAACAGUGGCCGAGCAGUCAGUGAGGCCUCUGAAACUCUCCGAGUCCAAGAUUUUGCUUUCGUCCUCAGGGUGUUCAACUGACAUAGAUUCCAGAAAGCAGUCAUUGCCCCACCUGCAGCGGGCUUUGGAGUCAGCUGGUAUAGAAAGCCCAACUUCCAGUGGCCUGGACAAGAAGGAGGGGCAAGAGGCCACAGCCAUCUUUGAAAAAGUGAGAAGAUUCCGCAUGCACGUAGAGCAGAAGGACAUCAUUUAUAGUGUGUAUCUGAAGCAGAUAAUAGUCAAAGUCAUUUUGUGCUCAUCAUAACUUAUGUUCCAUAUUUUUUAACCUACAUCACUCUUUAAAUUGACUGUUCAGUUGACAUGUAGGCUUUUACAGGAUAUAAGCCUACCAGUGUGUCUAUUCCUUCGCAGAAAUCUUGAAGUUUCUGGCUUCAUUUUAUACCAUUUUGGAUGUACUCUACAGUCUGACCUCCUCCUACAGGCUGUGGUGGAUGCUGAGGAGAUCCAUGAAGCAAUAUUCCUUUGAGGUGUUAAGAGAAAAAAGCAACUAUAGUGACAUCCCUGAUGUCAAGAAUGACUUUGCCUUCAUCCUUCAUCUGGCUAAUCAGUAUGAUCCUUUUUAUUCCAGACGCUUCUCCAUAUUCCUAUCAGAGGUCAGUGAGAACAAACUGAAACAGAUCAACCUCAGUAAUGAAUGGACAGUUGAGAAACUGAAAAACAUUAGCUUGUGGAAAAUGUCCAAGACAAGAUAGAACUGCAUCUUUUUAUGCUCAACAGUCUUCCAGACAAAUGUCUUUGAGUUCACCGAAAUGGAGGUGCUAAGCCUGGAGCAGACCCUGGAGGUGAAGCUGCCGUCUGCCGUCUCACAGCUGGUCAACCUCAAAGAUGUGGACCAUUCAUCUCUGGUAGUAGACCAUCCUGCACUGGCUUUUUGGAGCAGAAUUUUAAAAUCCUCUGCCUGAAGCAUCCUGAAAUGGGAAAAAUCCCAUGCUGGGUAUUUCACCUGAAGAAUCUGAAGGAACCUUAUCUUUCCCCUAUGUGAGAAACUUUUCUGCCCCACACAGGGAGGCUGUGUUCUCCCUCAACAGUUCAGUACUGUGCAGUUAGACGGCUUUCAGGACUUAAAAUAUCCAAGGACCCUCUACUUGCAGAGUAGCCUCUCCCAGAUCCCACAAGUCAUUGCAGACCUCUUGCCUUCACUGAAGAAUUGUCCCUUGAUAAUGAGGGAAGCAAACUGGCUGUGCUGAACAACUUGAAAAUGAUGGUCAAUAAGAAAAGCCUAGAACUGAUCAGCUGUGACCUGGAAUGCAUUCCAUACUCCAUUUUCAGCCUGAAUAAUUUGCAUGAGUUAGACCUAAAGGAAAAUAACCUUAAAACUGUGGAAGAGAUCAUUGGCUGUCAGCAUCUUCAGAAUCUUUCCUGCUUAAACUUAUGGCACAAUAACAUUACUUACAUUCCUGGAUAAACUGGGGCAUUAUCUAACCUAGAGCAGCUCUUUUGGGGUCCUAUUAAUAUUGAGAAUCUGCCCUAGCAGCUUUUCCUAUGCAGCAAACUACAUUAUUUGAAUCUAAGCUAUAACCACUUGACCUUCAUUCCAGAAGAAAUCCAGUAUCUGAGUAAUUUGCAGUACUGUGCUGUAACCAACAACAACAGUGAGAUGCUACCAGAUGGGCUGUUUCAGUGCAAAAAGCUGCAAUGUUUACCUUUGGGGAAAAGUAGCUUGAUGAAUUUGUCCCCUCAUGUGGGUCAGCUGUCAAACCUUACUCAUCUGGAGUUCAUUGGAAAUUACCUGGAAACACUUCCUCCUGAACUGGAAGGAUAUCAGUCCCUAAAGCAGAGCUGUCUGAUUGUUGAAGAGAAUUUGCUCAAUACUCUUCCUCUUCCUGUAACAGAAUAUUUACAGACGUGCUUAGACAAAUGUUGA